rnacentral:rRNA from 1 species
GGAUUACUCAGAGUGAUCUCCUUUAAAGAUAUCUUUUGGCACCUCUAAAAAUGGUGCAGAAUAAGGUUGGGCAAGCCUGGUGCCAGCCCCGCGGU